GAGACAACCAAGGAAGUUUAAGAUACUGACCUCGAGUGGAAGGAAGUGUCAAGUAUUUAUACCAGGAGAGCUCUGAGAGACUGACUAACGAAGACUAAGCAAUCGCUUGCGAGAUGCUGCUACUCAGUAGAUGACAAACGCAAGGCCGAAAGUCGUCGACACGAGGUGGGGGGCAUAAAUCUUUGAUCCCCUGUGAAAAGUUCUAAAGCAAAGGGAGGGACCCGAGUGAAUCAUCCAGGGACCAAAUCUCAGGAGACUGCUACCUCUACCAAGAUCACCACGCAAGCAAACAAGGAAGAUUUGAUCGGCUCCCUUGACCCGCCGUCCAAUCCCGGCCGCCACGGAAAAUUGUAACAGAAACAUGCUUUCCUACUCAGCAAAAUCAUUUUGUUGUUCUCGAAUCUAACGAGCUAAACUUGCAGAUUUUUUUCUCUCAUCACGCGGAUUACCUCAUAUACCAUCACGAAGAGUGACGCAGUUUUUUGUUUUAUAGCAUGGUUUUGGAAUAUAAGCUCGUUGAAUUUGGGCUGUGAAA